GCCGAGGUAGCUAAGCCCGGAUCACGGCGCCGGCCUUGAGAGCCGGUGGUGCUCGCACCUCGGGAGUUCGAAUCUCCCCCUCGGCG
rnacentral:tRNA from 1 species